rnacentral:rRNA from 1 species
GGAGUUAGGAAAUGUGGGCUCGCUAAUAUCGGGUCUAUUUGACAAAGGCUCCAAAGGAAGCCACGGCUAACUCUGUGCCAGCAGCCGCGGUAAUACAGAGGUGGCAAGCGUUGUUCGGAAUUAUUGGGCGUAAAGAGCACGUAGGUGGAUUUGUAAGUCAGACGUGAAAGCCUUCUGUUCAACGGAAGAAUUGCAUCUGAAACUACAAACCUUGGGUGUAGGAGGGGAGAGUGGAACUUCUGGU